rnacentral:tRNA from 1 species
GCUCCCGUAGCCUAGUUAGGAUAAGGCGACAGCCUCCUAAGCUGUAGAUCGCGAGUUCGAAUCUCGUCGGGAGCG